UGGAGGCCUCGUUCUCCGGCGAUACGCAGAUGGAAAGAACGAGGACACGCCUCGCGUAGGGAUUCGAAAACGAACGGCGCGCGAACCUCAUCUACGCCGCAGCCGUCUCGGAAGUUCCAGUGUUUUUUUUUUCUUUUCAGGCCGCACCUUUCAGAUAACGCCCACUUUGCGGAGUCUUCACCCAACUCCGGCUUUCUAAAUGUUAAUAACGAUCUGCGUUGUUUCUGCUGCUGCCGCUUUCGUCUGCUUCGUCGACGGUGCCGUUCCAGACCCAUUUCGGAUAAAAGAGAUCGAGAUCACCUACCGGCUUCCGUGCACGGCAAACGUCUGCGGCGACAUGUGCCACGUGCGCGGCUGCUUCCAGGGCGUGUGCAAGUAUUCGCCGGACCAAGUGGGAGUGCCACGCGUCUGCAUAUGCCGCGGACACGCGUCAUUGUGCGCCUGAGUGAAGUCCGCGGAGUGACGUCGGGGAUUGUAAUUGUAAUUGAUUGUAAUUGUAAUUGGAAGCGAGAAGCAAUUGAAUGUGCCGCAACUUUCACGAGACCGGUGCCAAACUAGACUAGAUCUUUUCUGACUUUGUCGCGUAAAGCAAAUAAACUCAUUGCCAUCACGGGAUCGAUCGAACAAUAAAUUGGUGAAUGAGCAAAGAAAUGACCAGUCAUUAUAAUUAGGCCUUUAAAAUGAUACGGUCCAUCGACAUUGCUUGUACUUCGAAACCUCGCCUCCCCCUUAUCCACACUUCCACAAAUAAAAUUUUAAAAAAAUUGUAUAUAGGCGAAAAAUUCUUGGACAAGAAUGACGAAUGCAAUCAGCUAUAAGCAAAACAUGGUGCCGCAUGGCCCUCAAGGAGCCAGUUACAUUUCGCAUCACAGCUAACACUUGUAUUGAAACGUUGCUUUUAAUGCAUGAUCGCAUACGAUUCC